GACGAACGCUGGCGGCGUGCUUAACACAUGCAAGUCGAACGAUGAACCGAGAGCUUGCUCUUGGGGAUUAGUGGCGAACGGGUGAGUAACACGUGAGUAACCUGCCCUGGACUCUGGGAUAACCCCGAGAAAUCGGAGCUAAUACCGGAUAGGACCUUGCACCGCAUGGUGUGGGGUGGAAAGUUUUUCGGUUUGGGAUGGACUCGCGGCCUAUCAGCUUGUUGGUGAGGUAAUGGCUCACCAAGGCGUCGACGGGUAGCCGGCCUGAGAGGGUGACCGGCCACACUGGGACUGAGACACGGCCCAGACUCCUACGGGAGGCAGCAGUGGGGAAUAUUGCACAAUGGGCGCAAGCCUGAUGCAGCAACGCCGCGUGCGGGAUGACGGCCUUCGGGUUGUAAACUCCUUUCGGUGGUGACGAUAAUGACGGUAGCCACAGAAGAAGCACCGGCUAACUACGUGCCAGCAGCCGCCGUAAUAC
rnacentral:rRNA from 1 species